CGUGUAGGUGGUCAGGUAAGUCAGAUGUGAAAGCCUUCUGCUUAACAGAAGAAGUGCAUUUGAAACUGCUUGGCUAGAGUACGGGAGAGGAGAGUGGAAUUCCCGGUGUAGAGGUGAAAUUCGUAGAUAUCGGGAGGAACACCAGUGGCGAAGGCGGCUCUCUGGUCCGAUACUGACGCUGAGACGCGAAAGCGUGGGGAGCAAACAGGAUUAGAUACCCUGGUAGUCCACGCCGUAAACGAUGGGCACUAGGUGUAGGAGGUAUUGACCCCUUCUGUGCCGAAGCUAACGCAUUAAGUGCCCCGCCUGGGGAGUACGGCCGCAAGGCUAAA
rnacentral:rRNA from 1 species